AACGAACGCUGGCGGCAGGCUUAACACAUGCAAGUCGAGCGCCCCGCAAGGGGAGCGGCAGACGGGUGAGUAACGCGUGGGAAUCUACCCAUCUCUACGGAAUAACGCAUGGAAACGUGUGCUAAUACCGUAUACGUCCUUCGGGAGAAAGAUUUAUCGGAGAUGGAUGAGCCCGCGUUGGAUUAGCUAGUGGGUGGGGUAAGGGCCUACCAAGGCGACGAUCCAUAGCUGGUCUGAGAGGAUGAUCAGCCACACUGGGACUGAGACACGGCCCAGACUCCUACGGGAGGCAGCAGUGGGGAAUAUUGGACAAUGGGCGCAAGCUUGAUCCAGCCAUGCCGCGUGAGUGAUGAAGGCCCUAGGGUUGUAAAGCUCUUUCACCGGUGAAGAUAAUGACGGUAACCGGAGAAGAAGCCCCGGCUAACUUCGUGCCAGCCGCCGCAGUAACAC
rnacentral:rRNA from 1 species